AUCUCUGCAGACAGUCCAAGUAUUCCUGCUUCACCAGGUCGAUCCAGUCUGAGAGUCACAGUCCGGGCUCCUCCACAAAUCAUGGAGUCAACCAGGAUGAAACUCAUGUGUACGGCUCUCUUCAACAUGGUACUGCUGACAUCUAUGAAUCAGUCACACAAGUGACAAACAGAAAUGGUUCAGAUGAAUAUGAAAAUGUUGCCUCCUCUCUUAUUGACUUUAAAGAUCUUAGAAGAAACAGGGAACACGACACACCAGAGCAGAGUGCUGUUUACUAAAAUGAAGUUGGGACCCACAGGUACAGAGGUGUGUCUGAGGGCUGCACCUCCUAAACAAAGCCUGUAAGGAAGCCACAGAUGGGACAGGCACGAGGUGCAGCCAGUGACCCCAUUAAACUGAUGUUUUACUGUCCUUAUUUUCCUCAAGUUAUUGGUUCUGUUAUUAGUUACCUAAUAUAGACUAUUGUGAGUCGUUUGACUGAAACUAACCGACUGACCUGGUGAUGUCAUGCUCUGUACUGACAGAAUAUGGCGAUACCUGUGUUUUUAUACCUUUAAGACCUUAUUUCUUAAAUCCAGCUUCACAGUCAGAGUUACAUCUGUGUCAGUUUUUGAGAGCUGGGCUCAAUGAUGUAAAUUAGCAUUGAUACAUGUAGUGUUUUAUGUCCACGUUAAUGCUGAACACCUUAUGUGGCAUUUUCACACAACAAUACUUCUGCUCAGUAUUGAUUUUUCUUUUGCAUGUUUGCCAUCCUCCAUCUUCCACUUUUACUGAUUUGGUUCAUGUAAACAUUUCUGAUGGUUUCAUGUUCAUCAAAAUAUUUUAAUCUGCAGUUUCAAGUCUUAGAGAUUACAUCACUUUACAUUCACAGACUUGAAGUUGAAGUUGUUGCUGUUCUUGGGAGACAUUUCUCUUUUGUUCUGGUAUCAAAUUGCUUCGUGUUUGCUGAGUUUCAAGCUCUUUCUGUUCACCUGUCAAACUGUUGCUCAUGUUUCCAGAGCAGCUUUUCUUCUGCUCAGAUUAAAAAUUUACAGUCAUUUCUGGUUUGUUGAUUUGCCAAAUUGUUGCUCAGUUGCUUUGAAUCAAAGUUCAUCUUAGUUGACAGGUUGCUUUGCAGUUUUGAAAAAAAAUCCUCCUCUAUUGAGUUUCCAAACUGUCUUUCAGAAUCAUUUUUUCUCAGUUUUCUGCUCAGACUUUGUCUCAGACAUCUGAUUUUCUCCUCUUCUGUUCAGAUUCAAUCAUCUACUUCUCAGUUGUCUAAAGUCAAGACUGUGUCAGGGUUCCUGGGUGGUUCACCCGGUGUUUUCAGUUCAUGUUCAGUUUAUGUUCCACAUUCAUGUUUCCCGCUUCACCGUGCCAGCCCUCUGUCUCAGUGUCAUUAAUUCUACUUCCUGUUUCAUUAUGUUCAGCUGUGUUCUCACCGGUCCGUAAUCAUCAUCAUUAUCCAGUGUACCUAAGUCCUCAGUUUCAUCCUGGUCUUUGUCGUGUCAUUAAUGUUAAUUUU